rnacentral:rRNA from 1 species
CUACGGAAGGCAGCAGUCGAGAAUUUUUCACAAUGGGCGCAAGCCUGAUGGAGCGACGCCGCGUGGGGGAUGAAUGGCUUCGGCCCGUAAACCCCUGUCAUUCGCGAUCAAAGCGCAUUAUUUAAAAGAUGAUGUGUUGAUAGUAGCGGAAGAGGAAGGGACGGCUAACUCUGUGCCAGCAGCCGCGGUAAUACAGAGGUCCCAAGCGUUGUUCGGAUUCACUGGGCGUAAAGGGUGCGUAGGUGGCGAGGUAAGUCGGAUGUGAAAGCUCGGAGCUCAACUCCGAAAUGGCAUUGGAAACUACCUUGCUGGAGGGUCGGAGGGGGGACUGGAAUUCUCGGUGUAGCAGUGAAAUGCGUAGAUAUCGAGAGGAACACCAGUGGCGAAGGCGAGUCCCUGGACGACUCCUGACACUGAGGCACGAAAGCUAGGGGAGCAAACAGGAUUAGAUACCCCGGUAGC